GUGUGUGUGUGUGUGUGUUGAUAAUAGCUUGGCUAUAAAUAUACAUCACUUAUAGGUUACAAUAUACAUCACAAGUCAGGUUAAUGUGUUGCUCAAGUUCUGCUAUCAUUGCUCUCUCAAUCUCACCAAUGCAGGCAAAUGAGCCACCGUUCGCAAAAAAUUGCUCACUUCACAAUCAAUCUGCAACCCUGUCUUUCUUAAUAGCCUGAAGCUAGGUAUAGCCAAAUUAAUUCAAGGUCUUAAGAAAACUGACUUGUCAUUAUUGUGAUGUCAUAAAUAACUAGUUAAUUUCGGCCGGUCAGCAUAAAACCCAAGUUGGUUAUGUUUAACCCCAGGUAAUCUUGUAAUGUCUUGGCCGUUUCACCAAGACAUGCACAAUGUUCAAACCAACUCAUUUGUUUUGUGGUAUUUUAAGUUCUCCCAUACUUUGGAAGACAGGUCUUUGGAAAAGUUGACACUGAAGAUCGCCUUAACUGUCAUUCACAGACCAUGAGUGACUUUUUGUGUUGUUAAAGUGACCCAUUAUGUAAAGUGAAAUUUUUUAUUUGUAUUUAUCGUCGUAAUAUGUCUUUGUAACAAUGUGCAAUGCUACACAACACCUGGGUGGCUUUUACUGGGCUCAUCUAGACAAAGACGCUGGGUGGUGGUGUUGGAAGCUGGGUUAUUUUAAGGUUUGCAGAUCAUUACCCGUGGCUGGUUUAACCCGUGCACAUUGAUUGCUCAAUGUACUACAGUUGUGAUGGCUCACCCAGCCCCAGAGUCCAAUCAGAAUCAGGCAAGGAGUGGCUGCUUAAACCAGUCAUCAUCCACACACACUCCAGUCUUAUUUUUUAUCUUCAACAUGGUAAUCUAUGCCAGUUUAUCACUGUUACUGAAAUAAGAUUAAGUUAAACAAGAGUAUUCACAAUCCAUGGUGCUAUAAAGAUUCUGGUUCAUGUUUUGCAAGUCACAGUAUAACACACAAAUUUUGUCUAAGAUAUACGUGAUUGACAGGCUAGAUGGAUUCACCGGAACAAUCAGAAGGGAUGCCCUGAUAAGCCUGAAAUUGGAGCAGUAUGAAACGUCAUUGUCUUAUAAAGCACAUGAAUAAGAAACUAAAGUCUCUAACGCGGGUUGGUUGUGUUAACUAUAUUCAUGCUCAGUGAUAUGUGGUCUUAUCUGGGAACGAAUGGGACAAUCCGCGGUCCAAGUCUAUCGGUUUUAUCUGAAAACUGAAGCCGAGUGGUUGGUGUGAGAGUGGGGCAUAAAGAGAGGCAACAGCCGGCCCAGUCCCAGCAGUUAACCUGCUAGACCCCCGGUGAGUUGGGAUUGCUGAGUCGGUCUCCGUUCAGGAUAGCUUUAUUGCCGUAUCUGUGUGCUUUAAGGACAUGACCAUACACAAAUCAAUACCAGCAGGGAUUGCCUCACUUGCGCUGGUGAAAAUGAUUCUCUUGCGGUAUACCGUACUACAGUUGUCCUGGAAGCCUAACCCUUAUUGAAGAAAGUGGGAUUUACGAUUUGGCAGAGAAAACCACUUUGGAUGCGGGUGUAAGCCAUAUGACUAACUGAUAGAUGUGCACUGUAGCAGAACUGUCUCUAUAGAGGCAGAGGGUGCAGAUAUUUUAUCAUUCAUGAUCUGAAAUCUUCAUAUCGCACACCCCUAGUGAAAACAAGAUAAUUAACAAGUUAAUUAUGCCAGCUCUAGACAAAAACAAGUUGGCUGUGACAAGAGAACAAGUUAUU